AGACACAUGCUCGUUCAUUGACAUUCACUUCUUCAAGAGUAGUGAGUAUUGUCUGACACUUGAGUAAGUCUCCACAACAUGGAUUUUCUCUCUUAUGUCUUCAAAUCUCUGUAAAUUAAAAUGUAUUAGUUUUCAGGUUCAAUGUUAAAAAGUAUAAACAACUUGAGCUUGCCUAUGAAACAUCAUUUUUUCCAACACACCCACAUAUUAUGUACUAAUGCACCAUCAUAAAUAUAGAACUGUAAUUCUUGAGAAUUAAAUGUAUACUCUCAAGACCUUCAUCAUUAAAUAAGGAGUACGACAGUUGAUUCCUAUUAGGUUACUUGCUCAUAUGUUUUGUUUGGUUUUUUGACAUCUUAUGAUCUCCAUCAUUUUUUUACUUUCUAAUUUUGUGUUUUUUCUCCCCAGCGUGUUUCUACUCCAAGAAAGCUAUUCCGCCUCUCCAAAUUCAACUGUGCGCUUGGUUUUGUUCUAUUUUUUAUUUGUGUUAUGAUCUUUGUCUUCAUGUGUUUUGGCUCUUUCAUUGUAUUUAAAUGUCAUGUCGCACUGUUUCUUCGUUAUAGUUAUUGUUUUGAAGUUUAGAGAAUGAGGUUCAUUAUUCUAGGACUAGGAGCAAAUUGGGUUAUUGCCUUUAGCCUGUAGGUUUUUUAAGGAUUCGUUACUGUUUUAUACGGGAUUAUUAUUUUUGGUUUCUGGUUUUCAACGGGCGGCCUCAGCGUCCACUUGUCUUUGCUCCCAUCAAAUUUCUUUGCUGGAACACUUUCAUCCGUUUCUUGCAGCUUCGGUGAGUCGCUGCCCUACUUUGAUCUCAUAAUAGUAUUUUCGAGUUUCAUUUUCUUUUCAUAUUUUAUUAUAUCACCAGCUAAAUUACUUACUUCUCAUGUGUCAGGACUUUUACCGCAUUAUUCAUAUAUUUUAUUAUGGCAAAAAGAAGAUGUGUGCUUUCAACGGAAGGUUACGUACUGUUGAGCUUUCUGUGUUUUUAUUUUAUUUUAUAACUCAUUUGUAUCACUUGCACACUUACCUUUAUUUAUUUCGUGUUUUUAUUUUAAACUAUGGUGUAUGGGAAUUUUAAUUAUUGUAUAAGGCAUGUUGCUAGCUGUGUAGUCACACCUACUAUUUACUUUCCAAUUCUUUGUUGCUUUUAUGCAAAUUUAAUAUUAUUUUUGUGUUCAGAUGGCUCAGACGGCUCUGUGACAACUUCAAGACGUUUAUUGUUUAGUUUACCUACUCCAUCAGCAACUGAUAUGGCUACGCCAAUUAUCUUUGGCCCUGAGUGUUCACAUGCUCUAACUACUCAGUCGAGAAGUUUGCGAGGUGCAUAAUAUUUGAUGAAUUGUGUCUAGAUUUGCACAAUUAAAUUUAAUAUUAUAUGGGAUUGCUUAGCAAGUGAUGUUGCUAUUAUUAUUAUUUUUUUGUGACUAUGGUUUGUAAUUUUCAGAUAAGACUUCGAAAAAAAGAAAGAGGCGUGUUCUUAUUGUUGACACUGGUGGGAGUGUUCCAAUCUCACAAGUGACA
rnacentral:lncRNA from 1 species